rnacentral:tRNA from 1 species
GGGAAGUUGGCUCAGUGGUAGAGCACUUGCUUCACAUGCAUGAGGGCUUGGAUUCAAUUUCUCA